rnacentral:lncRNA from 1 species
AGAAGAUCCUGGCGUUAACACUAGACAAUUUUUAUUUAGUUAUCUACCAUUUAUCUGCACGGAUUAUACUAAAUUAAGUAUAACCUAAGAAAAAAAAGUACACAUACUUGCGUUUGAUCAAUGAUAAACCACACGAAAUUAAGAAGCCAAAAGAGUAACGUAGAUAAAACAAGUACUUGAUCUUGAAGAGGAGUACGUACUCAUGGAAUUAACCUCAUUAUAUUU